rnacentral:lncRNA from 10 species
CCUUUGCACAUCUAAUCCCAUCUUGGACGACCCAGUGCAGACUUUAAAGUAAUUGUCUUCUGUAUUCAGAAGAGUAUUGCUUCAAUAGAGACCUUGAAACUAGAAAAGAAUCCCCUUCGGGAGACCGAGACGGGUGGAUCACUUGAGGUCAGGAGUUCGAGACCAGCCUGGGUUACAUGAUGAAACUCCGUCUCCUAAAAAUACAAAAAUUAGCUGGGCAGGGUGGCAUUUGCCUGUAGUCCCAGCUACUCAGGAGGCUGAGGUAGGAGAAUCACUUGAACCCAGGAAGUAGAGGUUGCAGUGAGCCAAGAUCGUGCCACUGCACUCCAGCCUGGGCGACAGAGUGAGACUCCAUCUCAAAAAAAAAAAAUACAAAAAUUAGUUAGGCAUGGUGGUGUGCACCUAUAGUCCCAGCUACUCAGGAAACUGAGACAGAAAAUCAUUUGAACCUGGGAGACAGAGGUUGCAGUGAGCCGAUAUGGCACCAUUGCACUCCAGCCUGGGCGACAGAGCGAGACUCUCUCAGAAAACAAAAAAUACAGAAAAACUAGGCCGGCUUAUGCCUGUAAUCCCAGCACUUU